rnacentral:lncRNA from 1 species
AUGAGCAGCAGCCCCAGAUCCCGGGCAGGCCUGGCUUUUCCCUUUGCCUAGGUGGUAGGGUAGUGUGUGUGAGGGCUACCCAGAGUGGGGUCAGCCCCUGCCAAGCACUGCAGAACUCCCAAGUUCCCUUCUCGGGACUGCCCAGCCCCCUCUCUUUUCGGAAUGCUGCUCGGGGUACCUGAGAGCGCGGACACUCUGCAACUUCGAGUUCGGCCGAGGGCGAGAGAGCAGCGUCCGGGGGCCCCGCGCCCCCAGGCUCGCGAUACACAGCCUCCCGAAGCGCAGCAUCCCGUGAUAGACAGCCAUGGCUCGCUUCCGCCGCGGGUCCGGGCCGGGAGUAAACUUUGAAAGUGAACGAGGCGAGGGUAAUUAAGAAGCGGACGGGGAGGCGGGAGGGUCGCUCUGCCUAUGGGGUGAGGAGGACUGGGUCCCCGCGGGGCGGGGCGGGGCGGGGCGAGGAGAGGCCGGGAAGUGGCGACUCGGUCCUGGCCACCUUUGCGUGGGAACUGCAGCCCUUCAAGCCCGCCCUCGAAGUCCCGCCCUUGUCCCCCCUCCCCCUCCCGGGGCUCCCAAGACCGGCUCUGCAGCACAAUACAGGGCCUUCCUGCAAUCAUCACUCUAACUUUGGAGGGCCUAAGAGUUUCAUAAACGGGAAAACAAUCAACAGUCUAUAUAGAGCCAGAUGACAAUGCCUGGACUGGUUGGUCCCACGUGCCCAGUAGGGCUUGGGUCACGUGGGGACUUCCUGGGUGCUGAGCUACAGGCCAAAGGAAUCUGCCCCGAGUGCCCCUGAGGCCUGCCAACUGGAGCAGAGGGCCUCUGGGGAGAGGAAAGGUAGUUGGGACCUACCGCUCUGAUGGGUAAACCCCUCUGUAUUCGGAGACCUCCGGGGACCAAGGUGCUAGUCUGGCCAGAGGCUAAGAGUCAGCUUUACUUCGACCUUGCAUCCUCCCCACGACUCUGAGAAGAGUACCAGGUAGACAAGAUUAGGUGGCAUCAGGGACGCGUCUGUUGUAUCCUACCUUCCCUCUUUCUGCUCUAGCCUGAAGCCUUAAACACAAUUUCCUCAGCUGCUCCCCUAGGCUCCAAAGGACCCUGACUUUGUGACUCAACCCUCUAGCUGUGCCCUUAGGAAUGUAUUCUAACGUCAUCCAAGGAGGAUGGGUGACAAGAUCUACAAGAGGUGAGUGCUCAGGCUGUGCGCUGGGUGUCCAAAGAUGAGUACACUAGUCCUCCACUUUCUAGCUCCUCGUUGUCCUGAACGAUCUGGGAAAGAAGAGAAGAAAGGCCCCCGGCCGGGUGGCUUCCCUUCUCCUGACUUGGAAUGAAGAAAGCCAGGCAGAGGAACAGUUGGCGGAGGGUGGAGGUUAGCCUGGUGAACCUUUGCCUUGAUCUGGUUCAGCUGGGGUCAUGACUAAUACAGCUACUCCUUCUCUGAUCUCCAGAGUGACCAGAUAUCUCUCUCUUUCUCUCCCUCUCCCUCUCCCUCUGACAGCUUUUUGGAAAGAAUCUGUGUUCCGUUGGAGAACAAGUCAAGAGGAGAGACUUUGAAAAGCUGGGCUUGAAACGGCAUGAUGCCCUCCAAAUCAAAUGUAUACAGUGGUUUCAGACAGCCAGGCCCAGGGAGUGAAGGGUGCUGACUGGUAUCCCAAGUUCAGGAGCCAAGCCCUGCCUUGAAGGCUUGGUGGAUGACCCUGGACAAAUCGUUGAUUCCUUCUAGAUAAAUAAUUGUCCUGGCAAAGUGAAGGGUACAUUCUGGUCCCCGGGACCCUUUCUCUUCCUGACUAGUCUCUGAGUGAGUCUUGGGGGGAAGGGAAGAUAAGCCAUUCUGCCUGUCCUAUGGGCUAGCCUGGGGAAGCCUUUAUCGCCUUCCCCUUGUUUCUCUGACUCAGAAAUGGACUCAUAGACCUGCAUGAUUCCAGCCAGGGCAAUAAAGGUAGGAGAAUCAGGAACUCAAAGUCAUCUUCAGCUACACAGGGAGUCUGUGGCCACCCUAGGGAGAAAAAAAAGAGACAGACAGACAGACAGACAGACAGAGAAAGGGGCUCUAAUGUCAACAUGAAGUAGCUUUUUUUUUUUUUUUUUUUGAGACAGGGUCUCAUAUAGCUCAGGCUGACCUCAUCUGUAUAAAUCUUAGCAUGACCUUGAACUUUGAUCCUCCUGCCUCCUUUUGUCUUCUGGAAUUACAGACUUGCACCACUGUGGCCAAUCUUAUGUGAUUUGUUCGUGCACACCAUACGUGCACACAAUGGAGAUCAGAAGACAACUUGUUGAAGUUGGUCUCUCCUUACACUGUGUGAGUCCAGGGAUUGAACUCAGGUCAUUACGCUUGGCAGGAAGCACCCUUACCCACCGAACCAUCUCCUGGGCUCCUACUGUUGCUAUUUUUUGGAGACAAGGUAUCAUGAAGCCCAGGCUGGCUUCAAACUUACUAAGUAACUGAUGUUGGUCUUGAACUCCUGAUCCUCCUGCCUCCUGCUCCAAAGUGCUGAGAUUAUAAAUCUGUCAACAUG